rnacentral:misc_RNA from 1 species
CACGAAUUUUAUGGCUGGGCUGGACCCAACAGCGCCCGAGCAAUCGAGUGUUGUGGGCACCCUCCUCUGCCUGAUAUUCUACCCAUGUCUUUUGCGUACUAUUCGUUUCCUCGGUGGGCUUGCCUGCCGAUAGGACACCAUAAAACCUUUUGCAAUUGCAAUCAGCGUCAGAAAAACUUUAAUAGUUA